rnacentral:rRNA from 1 species
UACGGGGGGGGCAAGCGUUGUUCGGAAUUACUGGGCGUAAAGGGCUCGUAGGUGGCCAACUAAGUCAGACGUGAAAUCCCUCGGCUUAACCGGGGAACUGCGUCUGAUACUGGAUGGCUUGAGUUUGGGAGAGGGACGCGGAAUUCCAGGUGUAGCGGUGAAAUGCGUAGAUAUCGGGAGGAACACCGGUGGCGAAGGCGGCCCCCUGGUUGGAUACUGACGCUGAGACGCGAAAGCGUGGGGAGCAAACAGG